GUUUCCUAAGGCGAUUUCUUUUCUCCUGCAGAUAAUUGCUGAACUUGAGGGACCAGAAAGCAAUGAAGGACAAAACCAACAAGAAAACAGAACAUUUCCGACAAGAGUGAUAAUGCACGGGCAUCAUCCACAUGAUGAAC